UGGGGAAUCUUGCGCAAUGGGCGAAAGCCUGACGCAGCCAUGCCGCGUGAAUGAUGAAGGUCUUAGGAUUGUAAAAUUCUUUCAGCGGGGACGAUAAUGACGGUACCCGCAGAAGAAGCCCCGGCUAACUUCGUGCCAGCAGCCGCGGUAAUACGAAGGGGGCUAGCGUUGCUCGGAUUUACUGGGCGUAAAGGGCGCGUAGGCGGAUUGACAAGUUGGGGGUGAAAGCCCGGGGCUCAACCUCGGAAUUGCCUUCAAAACUGUCAGUCUUGAGUUCGGGAGAGGUGAGUGGAACUCCGAGUGUAGAGGUGAAAUUCGUAGAUAUUCGGAAGAACACCAGUGGCGAAGGCGACUCACUGGCCCGAUACUGACGCUGAGGCGCGAAAGCGUGGGGAGCAAACAGGAUUAGAUACCCUGGUAGUCCACGCUGUAAAACGAUGAGUGCUAGUUGUCGGCAGGCAUGCCUGUCGGUGACGCAGCUAACGCAUUAAGCACUCCGCCUGGGGGAGUACGGUCGCAAGAUUAAAACUCAAAUGAAUUGACGGGGUCAUAGCUGUUUCCU
rnacentral:rRNA from 1 species